AGAUUAAUAUUUUCAAGAUCUAUACAUUAAUUAAUAUUAUUUGUGUGGUAUAUAGUUUUUUUGUGGCUGAAGUGGUGUAGUAAAGAAAUUAGCAAAUGCAUUAUUUGAUGUCUUUUUGGCAAUGUCACAUCCAGAUUUUUCAGUAUUGAUAUGGACUCUUUCCAAUGGCUCUGAUUAAAGAUAAAAUUGUGAAGCAAAAAUCAAUCUAUUAUCAGUCUUGGUCAUGAAUGGCGUGCGAUCGCACCCGCACUCCUCCGCACACGCCAUGUGAAAGUCGGGCGUGCUCUUUAUCACACGCCUCGUUCUACUUCGUACACACGCCAAGCAGAACUGAGCUAUUUUAGAGUAAUCCCUUACCCAAACUUUACCCAAUACAUAAUUGUUCUUCCGCGUUAAAAUGUAUCUCUAAAAUGUAUUUCUAUUAAAUACCCACCUUCAUUAAAAUUGCUGACGUGAGAUACAUUUCAAAUGUUUUGCGUCAGCAUUGCAUCGACAAUAUUUUUUUUGUUUUUCAGCUAGCAAAAAAUUUCUUCAUUACCCUUGUAUUGAUCUCCUUAAGACGAUGACAAAUGGAAAUGCUAUUUACGAACCGAAGGUCAGGGCAUUAUUAAGUUGAAUAUCGCAGAAGUCACAUGCUUCAAAAAUACUUGUCACAGGCACAGUUUAAUGCAAAGCAGAACUGUACAGGAAACUCAAUUGAGAGUCUUCGCAGAACAUUUCUUCUCACAAAACUGAGGGCAGGGCUUAUUGCCUGCUGUGUCGUGUGGGAGAGAGAACUUCUGGACUUCUUUUUAAUACGAUAUACAUUCUUGUUGAUCAUUAUUACGAAUCGAAAGGCACCGCAAUUUUUCUGCUGCUUGAAUAAUUUUAAUUAGUGACAUGUUUAUUUUUUGUUUACUUUCUUUUUUUUUUUUUUUUGUUUGGGGUCUGGAUUAAAGUUGGUUAUUCAUUUUUCACAUGCUUCAUUCAAUAUGGCAGCUUGUUGUGAACAUGGUUUGUAAACAUUUUGUUGCUAAAAUAAAUAAGUCAACAAACGAAAAAAGAAGCAAAUAAAAAGUAAAAAACAAUGCUUCAAAAACUCCGCACUGCCGCUCUCCUGAAUGUAAUAAUUGCACGCCAAAAUCAUAAGCUAGGCGUGCGAUACUGAUCGCACGCCUGUAUUAGUGUAGGCGUACGUACAACCGCACGCGGGUGCAAAUAUUCAUGACCAAGACUGUAUUAUAUAACACCAAGAAAAUUUUUUAUGAAAUAGUUAAAUAGAUCUCUACAAGUAUAUCAAUCAACAGCAAUGCUAGAAGUCGUGUCAGGAUUAAAGAUUCACUUAGUGAUGAAUUUAGUGUAAAUGUUGAUGUACAUCAGGGUUCUGUACUUAGUCCUUUGUUGUUUGUUUUAGUCUUAGAAGCGCUGUCGAUAGAGUUCAGAACAGGUUGAUGAUUUGUUUCUCAUAGCAGAGUCGAUGGAAGAAUUAGUUGAAAAGUUUGAGAAGUGGAAGAAAGGACUAGAAGAGAAAGGGCUAAAGGUAAACACAGCAAAGUCUAAAGUCAUGAUUAGUAGCAUUGCAGCCAAGUGUGACCUUGUAGUUGGAAAGUGGCCUUGUGUAGUUUGCAGGAAAGGGGUUGGUAGUAACUCAAUUUUUUGUCAGACUUGCAAGCAUUGGGUACAUAAGAAGUGCAGUAGUAUUAGUGGAAGGUUAAGAGCUGACAUAAAGUUUGUAUGCAAGCGUUGCAAAUGUGAGAUUAUAGAGAAUGAAGUAUUUCCAGCUUUAAUGAUGUACAACAGUGGCUCGUUAGAGAUAGUUAAGAACUUCUGUUACUUAGGUGAUAUGUUGGGCAGUGAAGGGGGUGUUGGAAGAAGUGUUACUUGCAGGAUAGGUUCUGCUUGGAAAAAGUUUAGAGAGUUACUUCCUUUAUUGACUAGCGGGGUCCUGUCAAUUGAGGUAAAAGGCAGGUUGUAUGAGGCCUGUGUAAGAAGUGUUAUGUUGUACGGUAGUGAGACAUGGGCAGUAAAGCAGGAAGAUCUUGAUCGUUUAGAAAGGAAUGAUAUGAGAAUGGUUAGGUGGAUGUGUAACGCCAAUCUGAGAGACAGAAAGAGUUCAGAUGAGCUAAGAAGCAGGCUAAGUCUCCGUAGAAUUAAAGAUGUUAUCCAGAUAAGAAGAUUGAAUUGGCUAGGGCACUUGGAAAGAAUGGAGGAGGAUAAUUUGGUAAGAAAGUGUAGAGACUUGAUAGUUCCUGGGGCAAAGCCCAGAGGCAGACCGAGAAAGACUUGGCAGGAGGAAGUUGAGUUUAGAUCUAACACAGUCUAGAUCAGAUUGGAAGAGGGUCAUUAAUAUACCCCGUCCAACCCAUGCUAGCAUGGAAAACGGACGUUAAGCCGAGAAUGAUGAAUGAUGAUGAUGGUGAAGUGCAUACCUGAAAAUAACAUAAUCCGAAAUUAAUGCUGGCCAUAAAUGCUGACUUUUUAAAACAUAAAAUAAUUAACGUGGUAAUUGACAUGAUACUAUAACACUUAUUAUACAAGGUAAGGAAAAUAAAAUGAUUAAAGGCAUCACGUGACUUUUCUAUGUAUAGUUGUAAAAUAAAUAUUUUAGGCUGGUACAAAUGUUUUAAUUGGUGUAAAAGCAGUCAUCGAUGAACCUUUACCUACACAAACUAAUGAAGGGAGAAUAGAGUUUUUUGUUGAUUGCUCAGCAAAUGCAUCGCCUAUUUUUGAAGGGCGUGGUGGUGAUGAGCUGGCUUUA